rnacentral:rRNA from 1 species
CACGUAGUUAGCCGGGGCUUCUUAGUCAGGUACCGUCAUUCUCUUCCCUGCUGAUAGAGCUUUACAUACCGAAAUACUUCUUCACUCACGCGGCGUUGCUGCAUCAGGGUUUCCCCCAUUGUGCAAUAUUCCCCACUGCUGCCUCCCGUAGGAGUUUGGGCCGUGUCUCAGUCCCAAUGUGGCCGGCCAUCCUCUCAGAUCGGCUACUGAUCGCUGCCUUGGUGGGCCGUUACCCCGCCAACAAGCUAAUCAGACGCGGGCCCAUCCCGUACCGCCGGAGUUUUUCACACUGCAGCAUGCGCUGCUGUGCGCUUAUGCGGUUUUAGCAGUCAUUUCAACUGUUAUCCCCCUGUACGAGGCAGGUUGCCCACGCGUUACUCACCCGUCCGCCGCUAAGUCAUUCCCGCUUCCUUCCGAAAAUUCCGCAGAAACGCUUCGCUCGACUUGCAUGUGUUAAGCACGCCGCCAGCGUUCAUCCUGACGCCAGGACUCGUAAA